CCUCCCGCGACCAAUGAGAGCAAAUCUGCAAUUCCAGCACGAGCCACUUGGUGUCCAUACCACCUGGUUUUGGAGGGCAGGUCAUACAGUACUGAGCCCUUGAUCAUGAUUACUCUCAGUUCCAUUACAUGACAUAUAAGAUUAAAAGUCAUUGGAUGAAGGCCUCUUCUGUAUGGGGAAGUUUCGUUAAGAGCCCCGCCGCUCAUUCUGAACAUUAACACACAUUGCUUGUGGUAAGCAGAAAUGUCUAAGAUUUUACUGAGUUACAUACAGUUCAUUUAAGGAAAUCAGUCAAUUGAAACAAAUUAAUUAGGCCCUAAUCUAUGUAUUUCACAUGACUGGGAAUACAGAUAUAUAUCUGUUGGUCACAGAUACAUUAAAAACAACUAGUAAGGCGUGGAUUAGAAAACCAGUCAGUACCUGGUGUGACCACCAUCUGCCCCAUGCAGGGUGACACAUCUCCUUCGCAUAGAGUUGAUCAGGCUGUUGAUUGUGGCCUGUUGAAUGUUGUCCCACUCUUCAAUGGCAGUGCGAAGUUGCUGGACAUAUAGUUGGUACUGGAACACGCUGUCUUACACGUCGAUCCAGAGCAUCCCAAACAUGCUCAAUGGGUGACAUGUUAUGCUUAUGCCUGCCCAUACCAUAACCCCACCGUCACCAUGGGGAAGCACACAGCUAAUCGUCUCUGAGACGGUUACCCACAGUUUCAUCAGCUGUCCGGGUGGGUGGUCUCAGAUGAUCCUGCAGAUGAAGAAGCCGGAUGUGGAAUUGAUGGACUGGAGUUGUUACAUGUGGUCUGCGGUUGGACAUACUGCCAAAUUCUCUAAAACGACAUUGGAGGGACUUAUGGUAGAGACAUGAACAUUCAAUUAUCUGGCAACAACUCUGGUGGACAUUCCUGCAAUCAGUAUGCCAAUUGUGCGCUCCCUCACCUUGAAUCAUCUGUGGCAUUGUGUUGUGAAAAAUUGCACAUUUUAAUGGCCUUUUAUUGUCCCCAGCACAAGGUGCACCUGUGUAAUGAUCAUGCUGUUUAACCAGCCUCUUGAUAUGCCACACUUGUCAGGUUGAUGGAUUAUCUUGGCAAAGGAGAAAUGCUCACUAACAGUGAUAUAAACACAUUUGUGCACAUCAUUUGAGAGAAAUACGCUUUUUGUGCAUAUGGAACUGGGAUCUUUUACUUCAGCUCAUGAAAUCAACACUUUACAUGUUGCGUUUAUACAGUGCAUUCGGAAAGUAUUCAGACCCGUUGACUUUUUCCACCUUUUGUUAUUAAGUUACAGCCUUAUUCUAAAAUUGAUUACAUUGUUUUUUUCCCCCUCAAUCUACACAAAAUACCCCAUAAUGAAAAGCAAAAACAGGGUUUCAGACCCUUUACUCAGUACUUUGUUGAAGCACCUUUGGCAGCGAUUACAGCCUCAAGUCUUCUUGGGUAUGACGCUACAAGCUUGACACACUUGUAUUUGAGGAGUUUCACCCAUUCUUUGCGGAUCCUCGCAAGCUUCAUGUUGGAUGGGGAGCUUCGCUGCACAGCUAUUUUCGAUCAGGUUCAUCUCUGUGCUCUGCCUGGACCACUCAAGGACAUUCAGAGACUUGUCCCGAAGCCACUCCUGAGUUGUCUUGGCUGUGUGCUUAGGGUAGUUGUACUGUUGGAAGGCGAACCUUUGCCCCAGUCUGAGGUCCUGAGCACUCUGGAGCAGGUUUUCAUCAAUUAUUUUUCUGUACUUUGGUCUGUUUAUCUUUCCCUCGAUCCUGACUGGUCUUACAGUCCUUGCCGCUGAAAAACAUCACCACAGCAUGGUGCUUCCACCACCAUGCUUCACCAUAGGGAUGGUGCCAGGUUUCCCCCAGAUGUGACGCUUGGCAUUCAGGUCAAAUAGUUCAAUUUUGGUUUCAUCAGACCAGAAAAUCUUGUUUCUUAUAGUGUGGAGAGUCCUUACGGGUGCCUUUUGGCAAAGUCCAAGGGGGCUGUCAUGUGCCUUUAACUGAGGAGUGGCUUCCGUCUAGCCACUCUACCAUAAAGGCCUGAUUGGAGUGCUGCAGAAAUAGUUGUCCUUCGAGAAAGUUCUCACAUCUCCACAGAGCCACUCUGGAGAGCUGUCAGUGACCAUCAGGUUCUUGGUCACCUCCCUGACCAAGGCCCUUCUCCACCGAUUGCUCAGUUUGGCCAGGUCGGCCAGCUCUAUGAAGAGUCUUGGCGGUUCCACACUUCUUCCAUUGACGAAUGAUGGAGGCAACUGUGUUCUUGGGAACCUUCAAUGCUUGAGACAUUUUUUGGUACCCUUCCCUAGAUCUGUGCCUCGACACAAUCCUGUCUCAGAGCUCUACGGACAAUUCCUUCGACCUCAUGGCUUGGUUUUUGCUCUGACAUGCGCUCUCAACUGUGGGACCUUUAUAUAGACAGGUGUGUGCCUUUCCAAAUCAUUUCCCGUACCUGCUGUUUUCGACUCUCUGUACCGCACCCGCUGUCUCUAACUAUGAAUGCUUGGCUAUGAAAAGCCAACUGACAUUUACUCCUGAGGUACUGACCUGUUGCAACCUCUACAACCACUGUGAUUAUUAUUUGACCCUGCUGGCCAUCUAUGAACAUCUUGGCCAUAUACUGUUACAUAUACUGGCACAGCCAGAAGAGGACUGGCCACCUCUGGUUCCUCUCUCAGUUUCUGCCUUUCUAGGGAGUUUUUCCUAGCCACCAUGCUUCUACAUCUGCAUUGCUUGCUGUUUGGGGUUUUAGGCUGGGUUUCUGUAUAGCACUUUGUGAUAUCGGCCGAUGUAAAAAAGGCUUUAUGAAUAAAUUUGAUUGACGUCCAAUCACUUGAAUUUACCACAAGUGGACUCCAAGUUGUAGAAACAUAUCAAGGAUGAUCAAUGGAAACAGGAUGCACCUGAGCUGUUUUGACUCAUAGCAAAGGGUCUGAAUACUUAUAUACAUUUGCUGACAUUUCUAAACCUCUUUUCACUUUGUCAUUAUGGGAGAUUGUGUGUAUAUAGAGGGAAUUUAAAAGAAGGAUAUAGAAAAAGUCAAGGGGUCUGAAUACUAUCCGAAUGCACUGUAUUUUUGUUCAGUAUAAUUUCAAAUAAACAAACAAGGCUAUUAUACUUUUCUUGUGAUGAGUAAGUUCUAUUUUCUUGCCUUCACUACAUGACACAAGCUGAACUGGUUUAGCAUAUACCUCAAAAUAUUAAAAUAUAGUUGCAACUUCCAAGCAGCAGUACAGGGUUCUUUUCAGACAAGCACAAAAAUUACCAUAAAGCUACUAGUUGGAGCAUGAUUACAAAUUUGCAUGUCAAACAAUCAUAAUGUAUUGAACUGAAAAGUGUCAUGAUUUUGCAAGACAGAUAAUGUCUUUGUGGUUAUUUGUGCUGGCACGAUACUUAGGGUCCUUUCAAUCUAAUUUUUUAUUUUGGUCAGUAGGUUGUAAAAUGCUACCUUUGACCAGAAUCUGUUAUAAGAAUGUUAACUAUAUAUCAGUAUUACAAUAAUAUACAUACCACAAUAACAAUCAGAACAACUGGUUGGCUAGAUGGUGUACUAUUGAGUUUAGAUAUGGUAAUGAUACAGUAAUAAUGACAAGUAAAGUCAUGAGACCUUGCGCAACCUCAUGAGAAAUAACCAUUUUAUUAAAUUCCAAUUAAAUAUCCAGAACUUCAGUGGGAACACAGCUGCAUAUUUCAAUAGAUUAUUUUUCAGUGUUAAAAUCCCAACAUUUGUUUCAAAAAGUAUAAUCAACUUCCAACAAGCCUCUUCCUCUGUUUAAAUCAUUUGUGUCAAAAUAAUUCAGAGCAAGAUUAUUUAAAAAUCAGGUAUGCCCACAUUAGUGAAAUUUAAAAAAUGUUCUGCUUAAUCUUCAGCACAACAUCAACAUAUGUGAAAAUGUGGGGUUUCUAUGUAUUGUGAUAAAAAAACGGAGGAUGUGUCCAAUUAGUAGCUAAUGAUGGUAACUCAUGUGUUAAAAUCACACCAUGCACACUGAUGGUGUCAUUGAAAAUAUUCCUAUUUUUUUAACAACAAAACAAACUAGCAAUUUUCACAUGUUGUUGCGGUGGUCCUCGAGAUUCUGAAUAUGAAGUUGAAAAAUUGUGAAAUUGUCCUUUAAGCCUGGAAUGUUUAAAAUGUUUCCAAAAUUGCUUACAGACAAUCAAAUUGAAAAUAAGUAAACACCUCCCAAAGAAAAACCA